rnacentral:rRNA from 1 species
AUACGGAGGAUCCGAGCGUUAUCCGGAUUUAUUGGGUUUAAAGGGUGCGCAGGCGGCCAUUUAAGUCAGCGGUUAAAUCGUGGGGCUCAACCCCAUUCUGCCGUUGAUACUGGGUGGCUUGAUUGCGGUCGAGGUUGGCGGAAUUUGUUGUGUAGCGGGGAAAUGCGUAGAUAUGACGAAGAACACCGAUUGCGUAGGCAGCUGACCAGACCGCAAAUGACGCUCAUGCACGAAAGUGCGGGGAUCGAACAGGAUUAGAUACCCUGGUAGUCCGCACAGUAAACGAUGAAUACUUGUUUUCGGCGAUAUAAUGUCGGAGGCAAAGCGAAAGCGAUAAGUAUUCCACCUGGGGAGUACGCCGGCAACGGUGAAACUCAAAGGAAUUGGCGGGG